rnacentral:misc_RNA from 1 species
GAUAUACAAAACGCCCAAUAACCCAGGUUCCCACUAUACUAAAAAUGAUGUAUUUGAUCCUUUUCUGGCACACGAGAAUGUACAUACGUGGAAAUGCUAUUUCAUGAUAUUGGGAGUGAUCCCCCACCUUUUAAACUCACUCCCACACUGUACACAAGGAUACUAGAAACCCUUUCAUUUCUUGACUUUAUACAAGAAAUGCAUCUCCAACUCUAUAUAUCUCUAUGAUCCUAGGCUAACAUUCGAAUCGAGGCUUCGAAAUGGAUUCACAAAAAGCAAUAAAAGAAUAUACCACAAUUAUUAUUUUCACACUAGAAAGUCAGGGGACCUUGAUGUAGGUGAUGAUCCUUGGGACCCUAAUUCUUGAAUCUUGGCACCCACUUCAGCUACAACAAGCCUGGUCAGAAACAAACCAGCUAUAAAAGCUGAUCCCAUUAGCAUUGUAAAUACACCACUCCAGCUGUUAGUUGAAAUGUAACCGGUUAGAAGUGGUCCAAUGGCCGCUCCAAUUGAGCCAGUUCCAUCAAUAAUAGCAGUGACAGUUGCAAGCGCUCGCGAAUUACCCUUCAAAGAACUAUGUGUUCCCAAAUCUGCUGAAACAGCAGUUGUUAUCAACGCGUAAGGUCCAUUCACAAACACUCCACUAAUCAACAUGAGGAUGAUGUUUAUAGUCAUGGAGAUUUGUCCGUAGCUUCGAUAUAGGUAUAGAGCUGGGAUAACACAGUACAUAAAGCUAGCUGCUGUUAUUGCUCUAGCAUCCAACUUAUCUGAGAUGUAACCUGCUAAGAUUCCACCUAUUACCCCUCCAACAUCAAACAACGUUGAUAAGUUUCCAGAUUCCUCGUUAGACAAGUAUCGUCCAUCUAUUGCUG